GAAAAUAACAUAAACAUGUUGGUUUGUGAACUGUCAACCUCUCCAUCUUGCCACUAAUAGCAGUGUUGGCCUGGGCCCAGUUCGCACAAACAUAGCCUACUUUAUUUUACCAAAAAUUCUAUAACCUGGAAUAUCUUUAAACCAUUAUGUAUUCAUCUCUGCCAUGAUAUUUUAUUUUGAUCAUCCUCUAGGCAUAAACAUAGCCCAUAGUACCAUUACAUGACACAUAAGUCAUUGGACCAAGGCGUCUUCUGUAGGGGGAGUUUUGUUAAGAGCCACGAAGCUCGGUCAGAACAUCAAUACGCAUUGCAUGCGCUACGGUUUUGUAAGCAUAAGGACCUUAUCUAACAUAUCGGUUAGAAAUAAAACAAAACUUUAAAUUGAUACAUUCUUUAUAGAGUUAGUGUUUCCACACGGCCAUAUUUACAUGUUACGGAGCUUGUUUACGGAAAACAGACCGAAGACAGAGUAGACAACCUGUGCUAAUACCUAUCUGCGGAAGACAGACGGCACAAACAUGUUGUCACUGAAACAUACUGUCUGCUGCAACUGUUAAGACAGUGUUUAUUUUGCAUUGAUGUGAUAGAAAGUAGAGGGAUUUAUAUUUCUAGAACCGUACCGCAAUUAAGAAUUGAUUCACGUUUAGAGUAUUUGGCUGUUUUGGCUUCCAGAUCAUAUUUGCCCUUUAAACAGACCAUGUAAUGUCCUUGGACUAAGGAGUAACGUUAGGCAUCUUUAGUCCAAUAUUGGGCUAGCAUGGACAUAGGGCUUGUUCGACAUUGCAGCUGAGAGUGCAUGCGACUGCCGACUGACCAGUGGCGACGUGUCAUUGAGACCCACCUGUUUAGAUAAAAUAAUUUUAAAAAAUUAGCUCAACAGGUGUGUCUCUGCUACUCCUGCCCUGAAUUACGUGUCACCACUGGUCAGUCGGCAGUCUCAUGCACUCUCGGCUGCAAUGUCAAACAAGCCCUAGGUCUAUGCUAGCCCAGCGUCAUCGGGGUUAGGAGAGGGUUUGGCUGGCAGGGAUGUCCUUAUCUCAUCGGGCUCUACCGACUCAUUGUGGCGAGCUGGGUGCCUGCAAGCUGACCCCGGUUGUCAGUUCGACAGUGUUAAGAUAGCGCUGGAGAAGAAGGCAGAUGUUUUACGUGAUUGUAUUUUUUUGUCGUUUUAUUUGCAACUCUGACGAGCCCGACGCGAAGGAUAUACUGCUUCCUCGGGAACAGGCCCCGAUCCCCGUGAUCUGCGUGAAGAGGAAGUGGAGAAAGAGGGGCCGAAGAGAGGGCUGCCUUCUGAGAAUUCGUAAGCGAUCGACUUCCCUCCAUUCUGCUAGAAAACGUGCAAUCCUUGGAGAAUAAAAUCGCUGAGUUACGUGGAAAAUUAAACUACCAACCGGACAUUAAAAACGGUAACAUCUUAUGCUUCAUGGACUCGUUGCUGAACGACAACAAUAUCAACAUACAGCUGGCUGGUUAUACGAUGUACCGGCAGGAUAGAACAGCGGCGUCUGGUAAAACAAGAGAAUUCCAAGGUGGGUCUCUUUCUAGAGCCCACAGGAAGGACCACUUCGCCACCUUCCUGUUCAAGUGAGCACAGCACAACAAGGCGGAGCUUGUUACAUGGUUGAUGUUUGUUUAUUGGAUGGGCCGAUGCCAGGAUGAAACCCGGACUGCAAUCAGGGAGACAGCAGGAUGCAGCUGGGCCCUGAGUGAGGUCAUUGGAUUGACUGAGGUAACGUGCCGCUGAGACACUAUGGGGUUGAUGCUGGGUGUAAGAGGACACAUUAUGGGGGUCAAAGAUCAUCAGACAUGGUUGGCACUAUUGUCAUUACUAUCACUGUGAAUGCUAAUAAUAUCCUGGGUGUUACAACGACGUAGUAAUCCAAGAAUGUCCAUUUAAUAUGAGCACACAACACUAUAAAAACAUGAAACCCAAAUGCUUCAUACUUUCAUGAACUUGAACAGAAAAAGUUGCACAGUAUAGUGUUAUGGAUGAGUCGGAGCAGAGGAGCAGAGGAAGGGAGAGGAGCAGAGGAAGGGAGACGAUAACUGGACUGACUGCGCUGAAGAGAUGGUCUUAAAUGUGGUGACCACUAAUACUGUAACCACACCCCAUCGUUUCCAUCCCCUAGAUUACACUAAAAGGUUUAAAGCUACAGUUUGGGAUUGGGGAAGCUUCGAUGGUAAUUUUCUAUAGGAUUCAACCAGACACACAUCAUCACCCGUAAUGAUCUUAAUGACUAUUAACUGGACUUAUGUAUACAGAACCAGUCAAAAGUUUGCAAACCUGUCAUCAAGGCAAUGGGUUAAAAAUAAACAUCAUUGCUUUUUUUUUUUUGUGAACCUUGUAUUGUCAAUGGAAUGCUCUGUCUUCUUCUGAUAUAAACUACCGUUCUGGAAGAAAGCAAACGAAAGAAAGAGGAAACAUCCUCUCUUUCUCCUCUGUGAAACACCCUGUUCUGAUUAAUACAUAAAAGGUGGUCCCCCUUUUAUUUGAAGACUCUUCGACUUUGAAGAAUCUCAAAAAUAAAAUAUUUUCAUUUGUUUAAC